UGAACCUUCCUGAUCUUGUCUGAUCUCAGAAGCUAAGCA
rnacentral:rRNA from 1 species